GACGAACGCUGGCGGCGUGCUUAACACAUGCAAGUCGAACGAUGAACCCGGAGCUUGCUCCGGUGGAUUAGUGGCGAACGGGUGAGUAACACGUGAGUAACCUGCCCUUGACCCUGGGAUAACUGCGGGAAACUGUAGCUAAUACCGGAUACGACCCUCGGCGGCAUCGCCAGGGGGUGGAAAGAAUUUCGGUCAAGGAUGGACUAGCGGCCUAUCAGCUAGUUGGUGAGGUAACGGCUCACCAAGGCGACGACGGGUAGCCGGCCUGAGAGGGGGACCGUCCAACCUGGUACUGGGACAGGGACCAGACACCGACAGGCGGCAGGAGUGGGGAAGAUUGCACAAUGGGCGAAAGCCUGAUGCAGCAACGCCGCGUGAGGGAUGACGGCCUUCGUGUUGUAAACCUCUUUUAGUAGGGAAGAAGCGAAAGUGACGGUACCUGCGGAAAAAGCACCGGCUAACUACGUGCCAGCAGCCGCCGCCG
rnacentral:rRNA from 1 species